rnacentral:rRNA from 1 species
AUUGAACGCUGGCGGCAGGCUUAACACAUGCAAGUCGAGCGGGUUGAUGGUGCUUGCGCUAUCACUUAGCGGCGGACGGGUGAGUAAUGCUUAGGAAUCUGCCUAUUAGUGGGGGACAACAUCUCGAAAGGGAUGCUAAUACCGCAUACGUCCUACGGGAGAAAGCAGGGGAUCACUUGUGACCUUGCGCUAUAGAUGGGCCUAAGUCGGAUUAGCUAGUUGGUGGGGUAAAGGCCUACCAAGGCGACGAUCUGUAGCGGGUCUGAGAGGAUGAUCCGCCACACUGGGACUGAGACACGGCCCAGACUCCUACGGGAGGCAGCAGUGGGGAAUAUUGGACAAUGGGGGGAACCCUGAUCCAGCCAUGCCGCGUGUGUGAAGAAGGCCUUAUGGUUGUAAAGCACUUUAAGCGAGGAGGAGGCUCUUUUGGUUAAUACCCAAGAUGAGUGGACGUUACUCGCAGAAUAAGCACCGGCUAACUCUGUGCCAGCCGCCGCUGUAA